CCUACGGGAGGCAGCAGUGGGGAAUAUUGCACAAUGGGCGAAACCCUGAUGCAGCGACGCCGCGUGAGUGAAGAAGUAAUUCGUUAUGUAAAGUUCUACCAGCAGGGAAGAAAAUGACGGUACCUGCAUAAGAAGCCCCGGCUAACUACGUGCCAGCAGCCGCGGUAAUACGUAGGGGGCAAGCGUUAUCCGGAUUUACUGGGUGUAAAGGGAGCGUAGACGGCAGUGAAAGUCUGGAGUGAAAGGCGGGGGCUCAACCUCCGGACUGCUCUGGAUACUGUACGGCUGGAGUGCAGGAGAGGUAAGUGGAAUUCCUAGUGUAGCGGUGAAAUGCUUAGAUAUUAGGAGGAACAUCAGUGGCGAAAGCGGCUUACUGGACUGUAACUGACGCUGAGGCUCGAAAGCGUGGGUAGCAAACAGGAUUAGAUACCCCGGUAGUC
rnacentral:rRNA from 1 species